rnacentral:rRNA from 1 species
UCAUGAAAGCUGGUUGUACCCGAAGUCCAUGUUGCUAACCGCAAGGAAGCAGUGGCCGAAGGUAUGGCUGGUGAUUGGGAUG